CAGCUGCAGUAAUCGACAAUAAAAACAUCUAUUUUUAACUCUGAACACACAUUUUGUGAACCUAUGUGGAUUUAAACGGAGUUUUUAGGUAGGGAAGAGUGGGGUAGGUUGAGCCACCCCCUGUUGCUUGGAAAUGGUCAAAGAAAUUGAUCGUGACCAAAUAUUUAGGAGAUGGCAUCAAUUCAUGGAGUCUGUGAGGGUUAGAAGCACAGACUGUAUACACUAUGAACAACUUGGUUCCGCCUUCUGCCAGUAUAUGGAAUUGAAGCCGAAAAGCUCAAGGGAAUUCCGCGUUUUUUCCCCAUGUUAAACCAUUGCGCAGUAGCGUUGUGCGCAUUCGGCGGGAGAGUCGCCGAGAGUUGCUGUGAUGACGCUCGGCUCAAACAGUAUUCUCCAGGUGAGCAACACAAUCUUCGUACGCCCAUAGACUUUAUCAAGUGUCAAUCAUAGAAAACAUGAACCCCCUAAUAACUUUUAAAAAUGGAGCUGCACAGAAAAAAAGAGGACUUGAGCACAAACCAGUCUUACAAUAACUACAUGUCAACAUCACAAGCAGGGGGGAGAAAAAUGUAUAUUCUGUCUAAUAAAUUUCUAAAGAUUGUCCACAACUCAAUAAGCUUUGCUGGUGGAGGCAGGAUUUAUGACCUGUACUGCAGCCCGUCACCAGAAGGUGCUGUUCUCGGAGUGGCUUCACCCAACAAGGAGGCAGACGGCGUCCAUUCAGUGUACAGUCUAUGGUUAGAAGCAUAUAGGUGAAGAGGUUAGACAUUAAUUUCCAAAAGAACAUUUUCACUUUUGAAAAGGAAUUUAGUCAGUCAUAAGUUCUACUAGAAUUGUGUUCAGACCAAAAAAGAUCAUUAAGGGAUACGGGAUAUGGCUCAACUUACCCCACUCCUAUGGUCAACUUACCUCAUACACGGGAUAAGUUGACCAUAGGAGACCACUUUUUUUUGGCAUGCUAUAUUAUCAAGACAGUUAUGUUUAUACUCAUUCUGUUGGUUUGCAGGGAUGAACAACAUCUUGAAAUAUAUGCAGAUACAUGAGUUAGAGACAAAAUUAUGAAAAAUGUCUCAUCUUACCGCAAUCUCCCCUACUUGUCUUGUGUGAAUUCUCCAUUCAAGAAGAACGUGCAUGCUUCCCCCUGCUUAUUCAUUUUACAGCGGCACCAGUACUGUUUAAGAUUAAUAUCCAUAUCUUUUGACUCACUAUUGAAACUCACAAUGUGAUAAAUCCAGGGGCGGAACCUGACUUUUUUGACAGGGGUGGCCAAACCAUGAGUACAGACUAAUGCAAUGGUGACAUGUGCACACACAUUUUAGUUGUCACUUUUACAUCCGGCGCCCGCUGUGUGAAUAGAUAAUUAACCUUUGGAGUACUGUGUACAUUUUAGGACAUCCUCAAGUCUCAGACCUCAGAUGAAACGGCCUCAGAUUUGCUAUUGAAAUGAUCAAAACAACAAAUUGUUUUAAAUCCCUUUGACACUAUUUGUUCUUUAGGCUGACAUUACAUGAAAUAUUACUUAUUUCUGACAAAAAGUUAGAAUACAUUUUUCCACUGUGGAUAAUAUAUAUUUUUUUACCCUUAAAGAGAUAUAUCCAUUGCUCCACAUGCAGUUAUUUGGAGGUCUUGCAUAAUUAUAGUCAUAUCAAACUAUGGAUGUGAUGCGCAUCAGAGGAAGGCAGCAGCACAAGUUGGUGUGGCUGUUGUAUGAGACUGGAUGAUGAUAUGUGCAGACAUGCUUUACAGGAGCACCCAUCAUCCCCUGAGGCUACAGUGACAGCAAGAGGGAGCCCACAUACCAAGCUGCAGGUCUGUACUUUGGUAUAACAAAAAAUAGACCAAACCAGACUUCUGAUUGUCUUUCUUCACCAUUAUGUUUUAGUGCACAGAAGAUAACUUGUUAUUCCACGUUUCUUUGAUAUAAAAAGC
rnacentral:lncRNA from 1 species